AUACGAACCGUCCAAACGUUAUUCGGAAUCACUGGGUUUAAAGGGUGCGUAGGCUGUGCGUUAAGUCAGGGGUGAAAUGCCGUCGCUCAACGACGGAGCUGCCCUUGAUACUGGCGUGAUGGAGUACGGAUGCCGUUGGAGGAAUGAGUGGUGUAGCGGUGAAAUGCUUAGAUAUCACUCAGAACACCGAUUGCGAAGGCAUCUGACGAAUCCGUCACUGACGCUGAGGCACGAAAGCGUGGGGAUAGAACAGGAUUAGAUACCCUGGUAUUCCACGCCGUAAACGAUGAUGACUAACCGUCGGCGAUAGACAGCCGGUGGCCAAGCGAAAGCGAUAAGUCAUCCACCUGGGGAGUACGUCGGCAACGAUGAAACUCAAAUGAAUUGGCGGGG
rnacentral:rRNA from 1 species